GUUGUAUGGUUAAGUGACUAAGCGUACACGGUGGAUGCCUAGGCAAUCAGAGGCGAAGAAGGACGUGCUAAUCUGCGAAAAGCUUGGAUGAGUUGAUAAGAAGCGUUUAAUCCAAGAUAUCCGAAUGGGGAAACCCAGUAGAUGAAGAAUCUACUAUCAAUAGAUGAAUACAUAGUCUGUUGAGGCAAACCGGGAGAACUGAAACAUCUAAGUACCCCGAGGAAAAGAAAUCAACCGAGAUUUUGUCAGUAGCGGCGAGCGAAAGCGAAAGAGCCAGCAAGUGAUAGCAGCAAAGACAGAAGAAUUGGCUGGAAAGCCAAGCGACACAGGGUGAUAGCCCCGUAUUUUAAGUUUAUGUUGUGGUACUAAACUUGCAACAAGUAGGGCGGGACACGAGAAAUCCUGUUUGAAGAUGGGGGGACCAUCCUCCAAGGCUAAAUACUCCUGAUUGACCGAUAGUGAACCAGUACUGUGAAGGAAAGGCGAAAAGAACCCCAGUGAGGGGAGUGAAAUAGAACCUGAAACCGUGUACGUACAAGCAGUGGGAGCCCUUUUGGGUGACUGCGUACCUUUUGUAUAAUGGGUCAGCGACUUAUAUUUUGUAGCGAGGUUAACUGAAUAAGGGAGCCGAAGGGAAACCGAGUCUUAACUGGGCGGUGAGUUGCAAGGUAUAGACCCGAAACCCGGUGAUCUAGCCAUGGGCAGGUUGAAGGUUGGGUAACACUAACUGGAGGACCGAACCGACUAAUGUUGAAAAAUUAGCGGAUGACUUGUGGCUGGGGGUGAAAGGCCAAUCAAACCGGGAGAUAGCUGGUUCUCCCCGAAAUCUAUUUAGGUAGAGCCUUAUGUGAAUACCUUCGGGGGUAGAGCACUGUUUCGGCUAGGGGUCCAUCCCGGAUUACCAACCCGAUGCAAACUGCGAAUACCGAAGAGUAAUGCAUAGGAGACACACAGUGGGUGCUAACGUCCAUCGUGGAGAGGGAAACAACCCAGACCGCCAGCUAAGGUCCCAAAGUCUAUAUUAAGUGGGAAACGAAGUGGGAAGGCUUAGACAGCUAGGAUGUUGGCUUAGAAGCAGCCACCAUUUAAAGAAAGCGUAAUAGCUCACUAGUCGAGUCGGCCUGCGCGGAAGAUGUAACGGGGCUAAAAUAUAGCACCGAAGCUGCGGCAUCAGGCGUAUCACAAAUACGCCUUCGAUUAACAACAUCGAAUGAAGUGAAACGGAAUAAGAUGUUGGUCAAGCACCCAACACGUUGAGUUGGCAUAAAGUGCGGAUAGAAAUCAGAGGAAUAUUUGUGAUACGCCUGUUGGGUAGGGGAGCGUUGUGUAAGCGGAUGAAGGUGAAUCGAGAGGUUUGCUGGACGUAUCACAAGUGCGAAUGCUGACAUAAGUAACGAUAAAACGAGUGAAAAACUCGUUCGCCGGAAGACCAAGGGUUCCUGUCCAACGUUAAUCGGGGCAGGGUGAGUCGGCCCCUAAGGCGAGGCUGAAAAGCGUAGUCGAUGGGAAACGGGUUAAUAUUCCCGUACUUGGUAAAGCUGCGAUGUGGGGACGGAGAAGGUUAGGUUAGCAGACUGUUGGAUGUCUGUUUAAGUUGGUAGGUGGGAAGUUUAGGCAAAUCCGGACUUCCAUAACACUGAGAGAUGAUGACGAGUUUCUACGGAAAUGAAGUAACUGAUACCACGCUUCCAGGAAAAGCCACUAAGCGAAAGGCUUUACUAAACCGUACUGAAAACCGACACAGGUGGUCAGGUAGAGAAUACUCAGGCGCUUGAGAGAACUCGGGUGAAGGAACUAGGCAAAAUAGCACCGUAACUUCGGGAGAAGGUGCGCUGGCGUAGGUUGUAGGAGUAUACCUCCGAAGGCUGAACCAGUCGAAGAUACCAGCUGGCUGCAACUGUUUAUUAAAAACACAGCACUCUGCAAACACGAAAGUGGACGUAUAGGGUGUGAUGCCUGCCCGGUGCUGGAAGGUUAAUUGAUGGUGUUAUCGAAAGAGAAGCUCCUGAUCGAAGCCCCAGUAAACGGCGGCCGUAACUAUAACGGUCCUAAGGUAGCGAAAUUCCUUGUCGGGUAAGUUCCGACCUGCACGAAUGGCAUAAUGAUGGCCAGGCUGUCUCCACCCGAGACUCAGUGAAAUUGAAAUCGCCGUGAAGAUGCGGUGUACCCGCGGCUAGACGGAAAGACCCCGUGAACCUUUACUAUAGCUUGACACUGAACAUUGAAUUUUGAUGUGUAGGAUAGGUGGGAGACUUAGAAGCAGGCACGCCAGUGCUUGUGGAGUCGUCCUUGAAAUACCACCCUUUAACGUUUGAUGUUCUAACGAAGAUUACGAAACGUGGUCUCGGACAGUGUCUGGUGGGUAGUUUGACUGGGGCGGUCUCCUCCCAAAGCGUAACGGAGGAGCACGAAGGUUUGCUAAUCACGGUCGGACAUCGUGAGGUUAGUGCAAUGGUAUAAGCAAGCUUAACUGCGAGACAGACAAGUCGAGCAGGUGCGAAAGCAGGUCAUAGUGAUCCGGUGGUUCUGAAUGGAAGGGCCAUCGCUCAACGGAUAAAAGGUACUCCGGGGAUAACAGGCUGAUACCGCCCAAGAGUUCAUAUCGACGGCGGUGUUUGGCACCUCGAUGUCGGCUCAUCACAUCCUGGGGCUGAAGUAGGUCCCAAGGGUAUGGCUGUUCGCCAUUUAAAGUGGUACGCGAGCUGGGUUUAGAACGUCGUGAGACAGUUCGGUCCCUAUCUGCCGUGGGCGUUGGAGAAUUGAGAGGGGCUGCUCCUAGUACGAGAGGACCGGAGUGGACGCAUCACUGGUGUACCAGUUGUCUCGCCAGAGGCACUGCUGGGUAGCUAAAUGCGGAAGAGAUAAGUGCUGAAAGCAUCUAAGCACGAAACUCGCCUUAAGAUGAGUUCUCCCUAGCUAUAAGCUAGUAAGGGUUGUUGAAGACUACGACGUAGAUAGGUCUGGUGUGUAAGCGGUGUGAGCCGUUGAGCUAACAGAUACUAAUUGCCCGAGAGGCUUAACUAUACAACCUCAAGCGUU
rnacentral:rRNA from 1 species